AGAAAGGAGGUUGGGGGGAGAGAGAAAGCCCCACGCUUUCUUGAGUUGAGCGCUUCUGAAUUUCCAGCUGAAAGAAUGAGGAGACACUGCGGUGCGUGUCUUUCCUUCGGCUGCGGGUGAAGCGCGCAGACCAUGAAAAACUAGCUGUUCCUCUCCCCCUCCCCCCUCCCGCCAGCCGACAAGGUUUUGAUUUUCCUUCCUUCUGAACCGUGGAGGAUGUGCCGAAAACCAACCGUUUUUUUUUAAAAAAAAAAAACACACCCAAAACAGCGACCGCCAAGACAUUGGGACGCGGAUUAGCCGAUGGCGCGCCGGCGGACACAGCCGGAGAGCGCCGGUCGGGACUUUGGGAGCCAACAUCUGCCUGGCUGGUGACGUCAGCAGCCCCGUGUAAUCCUCUUGUGCUGAAGGCAGAUGCCUUAUUUGUUUGGCUGGAGAGAGCCAUUAAUCCCUAAUUCUGGAUCGGCGAGCGAGGGGGAAGGACCGGCCCCGCUCCAGCUCCCCCUUCCCCCCCCCCCCGUCCCCCCAUCCCGACCCCAAACCACCUAGCAGCGGCGACCUGCUAUGGAGAAAGGAGCUCUCACCCUCUGCAGGGGCUGGCUCACGGGAUCUAGAGCGUCAAAGCCUGGAGUGACCGGACCCUCCCCCCUCUCCUCCGGACACCGAGUCGCCGACGCCUCCAAAGUCCCGUGGACCACCCAAGUCCGGAGCCCCUUCCCCCUCCUCUCACCCCCCGACCCCCUCCCCCGGGCCAGGCUGCAGCCGCAUUGGACUACCCGAGCCGCAACUUGCCCUCCUCUUGCCAGGAGCGCUCUGUCCAGCUCGGCCCGGAGAGGUCACUCGUCCGGGCGCCCCCUCCCACUCGGCCCGGGGGGGGGGGGGAGGCGGGGGUUUGGGGGAGGGGGGUCGCACGGACGCCUUCCCGCUCACCCCGAGCUGCUGCCCGGACCCCGGGUCCCCGCAAAAACGCCAUAGCGAUACGCACAGCCCUUCUCUCUUUCUCCGCAGCCUCACCGCAGCCGGGCCGCAUGGGCUGACCGGACCCUCCCGGGCAGGUGCGAAUCGGUUAUUAAUUCCGCAUUACAAAGAAAGCUGACCCGG